AUUGAACGCUGGCGGCAGGCCUAACACAUGCAAGUCGAGCGAGCGGCGGACGGGUGAGUAAUGUAUGGGGACUGCCCGAUAGCGGGGGAUAACUACUGGAAACGGCGGCUAAUACCGCAUACUAUAGGAUAACCCUUAUGGGAUUAGCUAGUAGGUGGGGUAAAGGCUCACCUAGGCGACGAGCUCUAGCUGGUCUGAGAGGAUGAUCAGCCACACUGGGACUGAGACACGGCCCAGACUCCUACGGGGGCAGCGGUGGGUAUUAUUGCACAAGGGGCGCAAGCCUGAUGCAGCCAUGCCGCGUGUAUGAAGAAGGCCUUAGGGUUGUAAAGUACUGUCAGCGGGGAGGCGUUACCCGCAGAGGAAGCACCGGCUAACUCCGUGCCAGCAGCCGCGGUAAUUC
rnacentral:rRNA from 1 species